rnacentral:rRNA from 1 species
AGUGAACGCUGGCGGUAGGCCUAACACAUGCAAGUCGAACGGCAGCACAGUAAGAGCUUGCUCUUACGGGUGGCGAGUGGCGGACGGGUGAGGAAUACAUCGGAAUCUACUUUUUCGUGGGGGAUAACGUAGGGAAACUUACGCUAAUACCGCAUACGACCUACGGGUGAAAGCAGUGGAUCUUCUGACCUUGCGCGAUUGAAUGAGCCGAUGUCGGAUUAGCUAGUUGGCGGGGUAAAGGCCCACCAAGGCGACGAUCCGUAGCUGGUCUGAGAGGAUGAUCAGCCAAACUGGAACUGAGACACGGUCCAGACUCCUACGGGAGGCAGCAGUGGGGAAUAUUGGACAAUGGGCGCAAGCCUGAUCCAGCAAUACCGCGUGGGUGAAGAAGGCCUUCGGGUUGUAAAGCCCUUUUGUUGGGAAAGAAAAGCAGCAGGUGAAUACCCCGAUGUUCUGACGGUACCCAAAGAAUAAGCACCGGCUAACUUCGUG